GGUAUCUGGAAUAACAUCGCGAAAGUGGUGCUAAUACCGGAUAAGCUCACGACUCCUUCGGGAGAUGCGAGAAAAGGUGGCCUCUGAAUAUGCUACCGUAUCAGGAUGGGUCCGCGUACCAUUAGCUAGUUGGCGGGGUAAUGGCCCACCAAGGCUACGAUGGUUAGCUGGUCUGAGAGGAUGAUCAGCCACACUGGAACUGAGACACGGUCCAGACUCCUACGGGAGGCAGCAGUGGGGAAUUUUGCGCAAUGGGGGAAACCCUGACGCAGCAACGCCGCGUGAGUGAUGAAGGCCUUCGGGUCGUAAAGCUCUGUCAGUAGGGAAGAAAUGAUUCACGGUUAAUACCCGUGAUUCUUGACGGUACCUACAAAGGAAGCACCGGCUAACUCCGUGCCAGCAGCCGCGGUAA
rnacentral:rRNA from 1 species